UACGGGGGGGGUAAGCGUUGUUCGGAAUUACUGGGCGUAAAGGGCUCGUAGGCGGCCAACUAAGUCAUACGUGAAAUCCCUCAGCUUAACUGGGGAACUGCGUGUGAUACUGGAUGGCUUGGAUUUGGGAGAGGGAUGCGGAAUUCCAGGUGUAGCGGUGAAAUGCGUAGAUAUCUGGAGGAACACCGGUGGCGAAGGCGGCAUCCUGGACCGGUAUUGACACUGAUGAGCGAAAGCCAGGGGAGCAAACGGG
rnacentral:rRNA from 1 species